AGCAGUCGCCACGGGAAUACGUAGGUGGCAAGCGUUGUCCGGAAUUAUUGGGCGUAAAGCGCACGUAGGCGGCUUGGUAAGUUAGAGGUGAAAGCCCAGGGCUCAACCCUGGAAUUGCCUUUAAGACUGCCGAGCUAGUAGGUGAGAGAGGUAAGUGGAAUUCCGAGUGUAGAGGUGAAAUUCGUAGAUAUUCGCAGGAACACCAGUGGCGAAGGCGGCUAACUGGUCCAUAACUGACGCUGAGGUGCGAAAGCGUGGGGAGCAAACAGGAUUAGAUACCCCCGUAGUCCCUGUCUCUUAUAA
rnacentral:rRNA from 1 species